AUCUUGCUGUUGAGUGGUGGGCCAAAGUUACAAAAACCAGGAGCAUGUCUUGGACUUUGUAAUAACUAGUACACACAAGCAGGAAAGUAGAUAUACUGAUCCCCAGUGACUGGGGUGGACCUCUCUUUAGUGUCCAGUGUCUUAAUAUUUGAUGACAUAU